CGAGGCGGGGCCCGCAGAUCGCCGGCGUUCCGCGGCGCCGGCGUUCGAACAGGGGAAACAUUUGUUCAGCCGUCAAUCAAAAUCCCUGCCUAAGGCCUGCAGCUACUGAGCACCUUGAGGCCUUGAUGAGACAUGACACCCAGGUUUUACCAUUGAGGUUUUGCCUUGCUUAAGUAACCUUCAAGGAUUGAUCCAGUGAAACGGUCGUGGUGGUGGUGAUGAUGGAGGUGGUAAUGACAUCCAUCUUCUGCCACUGCCUAGGACUCAGCUGCAAGAGGCACACAGUGGAAAUUCCACCUUUUUCUGGAGUUUGUAACUAAAAUCUGCUCCCCUAUGGUGAGUGCUGUGACCACUAGCAUCUGGAGAAGUUUGUCACAACAGAUUCUUAAUUGUUUUGAAGAAAGAUUUUGCCUGAAAUGACAAGUGUAAAAUGGGCCAAAAUAUGUCCAUCCUUCUCCCCUUCUGUUUUUAUACGGCCAAAAAUAUCUACAUGGUUUUUAUUGCAAUACUUAGCUUCCAGCCUACUUGCAUGUCUAGUUUCUGCUGUAAUUUUUGUAUUUACCCAGGUCAUAAUCAGAUUUCCAUAGGGAUUUAGACCUCUAAAUAUUGUUUAAAGAUUUUGUGAUAAAACACCUGCCUAAUUAUGAAAACACUGCUUCUCGUGUGUCUAAAUCUUCCAGCACCAAAAAGGCUUUUAAAAAAUCGAUCAUGAGCACCCCUCACUAGACAGAGGAGCACUUCCAACUCCUCUGAAAUAGAGGACAUUCACCAUAUGCCUGGACCAAGUCUUGACAUUCAGAACUAUGGCUGCCAAAUCUACAAAUGCUUAAGUGGCUGUCACCAAGAGUGUGAAAGCUGUGCAGGAACAGAACAGAACUAUUCACUCUGCAGAGCUGUAAGCAUCUCUGGAAACCUGAUGGGUGUGCACAGUGGAUAUUACCAUCAAAUCCACAAAGUGGAGAAGGAUAAGUCCAGUUAUAAAAUAAAGAGUAUGUCUGAAGAAAUUGAAUUCUGAAAAUAACAGCAGGAUUCAUUGUUCCCUGUCGCCCUGCAUGAGUUUGGCAUUAUGUACAGAGCUCCAAACAUACAGGUGUUCAAUACCUUAGAAGGCAAAAGCAUACAGCUUUUUGGUCAAAGCAGUCUCUGGUCUUCUUGUGCCGGUCAGUUUACCAGCAAUGUUCAUCGAAGCUUCGCCAAUAUUUACUCUUGCUUGCCCAUUGGUCUUCAGUGAAUUUGUGUAGCUAAAAGUAAGGCAGAGCUUGGUUUGCAAAGCUUUAGCAAGACAUAUAUAUCCAUAUACUUAACUCUUCAUGUAACUAAUCACUUGUCUAUUUUUGUGCAGUUUUGCAGCAUUCUGGCAAGAUCCAUGCAACCCAGAAGUUUAAGAGAAAGUGUGCUAUAACUUGCCACUUUUAAAUUAUGUGAAUUAAGAUCAGAAUGUCAUUGUCAUUCUGUUUUCCUGUCUUCUGUCACUUCUGACACAGCUUUGAUGGAUCUUUAAAUAUGGGCUGUUUUGUAUUUAAA